GCUGAGGUGGUUGAUUUGGUUUUGAUUAGUUUUUCUUUUAUUCAUGGGUUUAAGAACAUGCCAAACAUGUGGUUUGAAUGCGUAGUUUAUUUUUUAUGUUGUUUAAUUCGACUGGAAUGGGAAUAAGAGAUUGUAAGGCAACUAUUUCCAGAAUUGAAUUUUUAGCUCCUCUAUGAUCUCAGUGAGCGUAAUGAUUGAUCACAUGGAACUAGAGGGAAUGGAUGAAGUUUGUUGCUUUCUGCUGGUAUGAUUGUGGAAGCAAGCCUUGUGUUUGAUUGGGAAAGAUUUUGAUUAGAGUUUGCAAGUCCUGGGAUUAGUGAGAUUUUUCUGCACAAUUAGGAUUUGAUGUGCACAGGAUAAAAUGGAAUCCAAACUUGAAUUACUUUUUGCAUGCUAAAUGGAUAAUAGACUUUUCUUUGGCUCAGAUACCACUGUCAAAUAUGGGACCAAUGAUCAAUUGUCUCAACUGUUCGGCGCUUCUCCUGAUUUUUGAUGUCUUAUU
rnacentral:misc_RNA from 1 species